rnacentral:rRNA from 1 species
ACAGCAGAGCCGCGGGAAAACGUAGGUGGCAAGCGUUGUCCGGAAUUAUUGGGCGUAAAGGGCUCGCAGGCGGUUUCUUAAGUCUGAUGUGAAAGCCCCCGGCUCAACCGGGGAGGGUCAUUGGGAACUGGGAAACUUGAGUGCAGAAGAGGAGAGUGGAAUUCCACGUGUAGCGGUGAAAUGCGUAGAGAUGUGGAGGAACACCAGUGGCGAAAGCGACUCUCUGGUCUGUAACUGACGCUGAGGAGCGAAAGCGUGGGGAGCGAACAGGAUUAGAUACCCCGGUAGUCCCUGUCUCUUAUACA